UUUCCUACGGGAGGCAGCAGUGAGGAAUAUUGGUCAAUGGGCGGAAGCCUGAACCAGCCAAGUCGCGUGAGGGAAUAAGGCCCUACGGGUCGUAAACCUCUUUUGCCGGGGAGCAAGGGCGGGGACGUGUCCCGGCCCGGAGAGUACCCGGAGAAAAAGCAUCGGCUAACUCCGUGCCAGCAGCCGCGGUAAUACGGAGGAUGCGAGCGUUAUCCGGAUUUAUUGGGUUUAAAGGGUGCGUAGGCGGAUUUUUAAGUCAGCGGUAAAAUGUCCGGGCUCAACCCGGGCCGGCCGUUGAAACUGGG
rnacentral:rRNA from 1 species